UACGUAGGCAGCAAGCGUUGUUCGGAAUUACUGGGCGUAAAGCGUGUUCAGGCGGUCUAGCAAGUCGGGCAUGAAAUCUCUCGGCUCAACCGGGAGGGGUUGUCCGAUACUGCUGGGCUUGAGGGCAGCAGAGGGUGGUGGAAUUCCGGGUGUAGUGGUGAAAUGCGUAGAUAUCCGGAGGAACACCAGUGGCGAAGGCGGCCACCUGGGCUGUACCUGACGCUCAAACACGAAAGCUAGGGGAGCGAACGGG
rnacentral:rRNA from 1 species